GUUUUAAAUAAUUGAUGAUGUUUCCUGUUUCUACUUACAUUAAUUGCUCUCAGGUGCUGGAGAAUUGCUCAGUGAGUUGCCUUUUAAUUUAGUUCUUUAGAAAAGCAGCAUGCUGCAUUUUGGAAUACUGUAAGUAAUGUGUACCAGGCAGUACUUUCUAACUGGAGGUUAAUAAGGGUGUACUGAAUGUCUGCUUGGGUGCUAUUGCCUCUCCUCAUGUGAAUGUGUAUGCGCAUGUGUGAAAAGAGAGGAGGAUGAGGUGGAAGACUGCAAGCAGUAAACAGCCUCAGGCCCAAGCUUCCACUGAAUCUAAACUUCCUGGCCAUCUCUGGAUUGGUCUUUGGAUUUCAGCUGGAGUCUGGAGUGACAUGAACCAACUGAUUUAUCGGUCGGUGAAAGCCAAGUGCAGGUGGGGGGUGACUUGCACUCCAUCCCUGUGCUACCAGGCAGUCUGGAAAUUGUUCUUUGCUAAAAAUGCAACCAGUCUGACUGGUGACAGAGGGAGUGAUCACUCUAGACUCUGGUGUGUUUUGGUCACACAUUCAAGGCCAAAUCAAAGGCCAAUCAAGACUCAGAGAAAACCAUUGUCCAUAAUCUGUGAAGUCUACAUUUGGAAGCUCAGAAAUUUAAUGUGACUAUGAAUAAGGUUAUUGUUCUGCCUGAAGUUACACAAAUCCUUGUACUAUUAUAUCAGCAGUUUGGGAUAAAGAAUUGUAUGAAUUUGUAAUAUCAACAUAUUUAAUGUUCUCCUCGACUACUGGGUGUAAUGUAAAUUCAAUGUGCAAUAUGGCAAGGUUGUGAUACUUUUUAUUGUCUGAAAGUAUUGGUUGCCACUUGUGUCUCUUUUACCCAUAUGCUGCAUAUUACUGGUAAUGGGAAUUAUGAUUGAAAGCAAAUUUAUCCCUCAGUGGUUUUAGCCUUGUGCCAGCUGUAGAUAAUAAGAAAGUUUCUUUUGACUUCAAAAGGACAAGAAUCACUGUCAAAUGCAGGAAACAAA
rnacentral:lncRNA from 1 species